rnacentral:rRNA from 1 species
GAUGAACGCUAGCGGCAGGCUUAACACAUGCAAGUCGAGGGGCAGCAUGACACGGAGAUUCGUCGAAGUGUUGAUGGCGACCGGCGCAAGGGUGCGUAACGCGUGAGCAACUUGCCCGUUUCUGGGGAAUAACCGUUGGAAACGACGACUAAUACCCCAUAGUAUCAGAUGGAGGCAUCUUCAUCUGAUUAAAGAAAUUCGGAAACGGAUAGGCUCGCGUGACAUUAGCUAGAUGGCGGGUAACGGCCCACCAUGGCGACGAUGUCUAGGGGUUCUGAGAGGAAGGUCCCCCACACUGGAACUGAGACACGGUCCAGACUCCUACGGGAGGCAGCAGUGAGGAAUAUUGGUCAAUGGUCUGACGACUGAACCAGCCAUGCCGCGUGAAGGUGACGGCCCCUAUGGGUCUUAAACUUCUUUUGCAAGGGAGCAAUAAGGCGUACGUGUACGUCGAUGAGAGUACCUUGCGAAUAGCAUCGGCUAACU